rnacentral:rRNA from 1 species
GGAUUAGAUACCCUGGUAGUCUACGCCGUAAACGAUGAAUGCUAGGUUUCGGGGGGUUCGCCCUUCGGUUCCGCAGCUAACGCGUUAAGCAUUCCGCCUGGGGAGUACGAUCGCAAGAUUAAAACUUAAAGGAAUUGACGGGGACCCGCACAAGCGGUGGAGCAUGCGGUUUAAUUCGAUACUACGCGAAAAACCUUACCAACUCUUGACAUGGUAGUCGUAGGUGCAGAGAUGCACCGUCAGUUAGGCUGGACUAACACAGGUGUUGCAUGGCUGUCGUCAGCUCGUGUUG